rnacentral:rRNA from 1 species
CUUACACACAGUGUCUUUUUGAUACAGAACUCUUGCUUUGGUUUGGCCUAGAGAUAGGUUGGGCCAGAGGUUUAACAAAACACCAUUUAAUUAUUUUUACAGUUAGUCAACUUUUGAAUUAAUCUUCAAAACUUUCAACAACGGAUCUCUUGGUUCUCGCAUCGAUGAAGAACGCAGCCAAAUGCGAUAAGUAAUAUGAAUUGCAGAUUUUCGUGAAUCAUCGAAUCUUUGAACGCACAUUGCGCCCUCUGGUAUUCCAGAGGGCAUGCCUGUUUGAGCGUCAUUUCUCUCUCAAACCCCCGGGUUUGGUAUUGAGUGAUACUCUUAGUCGGACUAGGCCUUUGCUUGAAAAGUAUUGGCAUGGGUAGUACUGGAUAGUGCUGUCGACCUCUCAUGUAUUAGGUUUAUCCAACUCGUUGAAUGGUGUGGCGGGAUAUUU